GGGAAAGCAUAGAACGUGAAUAUGAUCACGGCUAUAAAAAAUCACUUAUAAAACCUCCUGAUCAACUAGAUCUGACAGAGACAGAGUUGAAAGAAGAGAUUGCAAGAGUUUUAACGACGAAAAAUCCAAAUAUCCCGAAGAAUCUUGUGCAAUUUGAUUAUAAUGAAGGGUGUUUUAAACCAAUCAUUUGCCCUCAAAAGUAUGAAACUCAUUUUCAAGUUAAUGGAUCAUAUGUCGCAAAAGAUUCGGAAGAAGGAAAAAAAAUAAUUUUGGAAACUCCAAAUUCUGUUGAAUCGAAAAAAUUGUUCAAUCGAUUUAACUACACUGAACGAGGAGCUCAAACCAUAAAUAAUUUAUUAUUGG